GGAUGUGAGGGCGAUCUGGCUGCGACAUCUGUCACCCCAUUGGUCUCCAGGGUUGAUUCGGCUGAUCUGGCUGGCUAGGCAGGUGUCCCCUUCCUCCCUCAUGGUUCCAUGUGCGUCCCUCCUGAAGCUGUGUGCUUGGUCAAAGAGGACAGCCUUCUCCAGAUAGACCGGUCUUCUAUCGAGGGUAUAGGAGUAGCUGCGCUCCCCUGCUAGAACCUCCAAACAAGCUCUCAAGAGGAAGAGUUUAGCUUAUAAAAUAGAGCAUGAUGAGUGAGUAUACAUAUUUAACCAGAACCCAGAUU
rfam:Erinaceus europaeus unplaced genomic scaffold scaffold00179, whole genome shotgun sequence